GGAAUCUGAGAGGCCCACGAGAGACGGAGCCAAUUGCAGAGGACAUUUUAUAGAGCGCUCUUUCUCUUUAGUCUCCCAUUUUCUGCAAUCAGAAUAAUGUAGUGCGUUUCAGGGCCAUUUUCAUUUUUGAAGUGCUCUUUCAUCAUUAGUUAAUAAAUACUCAUCAAUGAAUUUUCCUCCUCGUCUUGGAAGUUGGAGUAAAAAGAAAGAUAAUCGCUUUUUAUUUUGUGUCAUCAUCAUUUUCUAAAGUCCUUUCCAACUCUGGAAUUGUUCCUGUGAUCCAUUACUCCUCAGUUUCAAGGAUUCCAGCGUUUUGGCUGACAAAGUUGUUUGCACUUUGAACAAUCUGUUGUAGGGAUGUCAUCUUGGGGGCUGGGGCUAAUGAGAACUCUGCGCCAACAAAAGUAUACAACAAGACAAUUUUUUUGAAUAUAGAGAGUGCCUAAAAGUUUCAUGUAUAGCUCUACCUGGGUUCAAAGCCCAAUUGUGGCUCAACAAAACCUAAUUUAACUCUUCCUGGACUCUGCUAGAGAAGAUUGCAAUACACAGUCUGGGUCCCUGCAGUUCUGUGAAUGCACGUUUCCUCCUGAGAUAAAGUGCAGGAUGAUGGAAAGCAGCUCCUUGGAGGUGAUCACUUUCUCAGUCUGUUUUCCUUGGCUUGGGUUCAGAACAUGGAGGGCUUUCUCUGAGCCCUUGGAAGAUGCGGCCUGUGCACGUACUGCUCAGCUCCCAGGCCUGGGUUUAUGGAAAAAAGUUCCUAAAGAAACAGAUUGAAAUUGAGCAAGAUCAAGUAUUCACUUGUGGGUUUCCACAAAAGUUGCUUUUUUUAUUUUCCCCUUCACUAGCUUGUGGAAAUGUCUCAGGGCUGCCUCAUCUGGAGAGAUUUGUGCAUUAAGCCAAAAAAAAUUAUAAUUCAUAUCCCUUCCUGUUCUCCCGGGGAUUCAACACACAGGCAGUCUUAUAUGCAUUCUCUAGCAUUUAUCUCCCUGCUUCUGUUCGUCUCAGGACUGUCUUAGGGAGUUACAACAUCCUUCCUGUACAGCCCUGCAGCCUGUGUUUGUUAUAAGUCACAUAUUUGAUUGCGUUCAGAGUGGAAGAGAACUGCACCGGCAGACAUGUAAGGUGUCUUUCUGUAUAUCCACCAGCCUCCUUCCCCACAUUUCAAGUUACUGAAUUGAGAUCCAGAAGAAAUGGAAGGAGGCUGAAGUGUUCAUUGGAAGAACCUUAGUCCCAAGUCCUGAGAACCAUCCUCUCUUCUCUCUACUAUAGAAGUUAUUUCUAGCUUGAUGGUUUUUUGUAAACAUUGGCCUAAGUGUGGGGAUAGAUUCCUGCAGUGUAAAAGAUGUUCUUCUAGAGGAAGUUAAUUUCCUUUAGAAGCAGUGUUGAUUCUUUUGGACCAAAUAAUGUACUAGAACAUUCUAAAACUUCCUUCUUCUAUUUUUUUUUAAGGAGAGAGAGUGUGCAUGGGGUGGGGGAGGGGCAGAGAGAGAGGGAGAAAGAGAAUAUUAAGCAGCCUUGAUGCCCAGUGUGGAGCCCAAUGCAGAGAUCCAUCUCACCACUCUGAGAUCAUGACCUGAGCUGAAAUCAAGAGUCAGACACUUAACCAACUGAGCUACUCAGGGGCCCCAUCAAACUUCCUAACUUCUAAGUGGAAAUCUGUGACUGAACAUUUUUGAAGCAUUCAGAGAUAUAUGGAAGAAUAAUGUAUGUCCUGGGAAAGUCUAGAUACUUAAAUACUCUGAUAAGAACUAUUUACCUUUGCCUCUUUGUCUCCACAUCAGCAAGGAGCCAAACAUCAAACUGUCCUCUGGUAUUGCCCCAUGGAGUUCCUUACUAAGUGGGAUGAUGAAAAUCUGUCCAUUUGUCAUGCAGUCGAGACUCCAGGGCCAGAAGGAAAGAGGAUACUGCAGACAGUACACUAACAUUUCUUCUUCCAGGUUCCUGCUCUAUCCUGGAGGAAGUAUGGUAUGGUACAGUAGUGCAUUAAUUAAUUGAUUAAUUAAUCCACUUACACAUUCAAUACACUGUCUAGGUGCUCAGAGGAUGUGAGGUGCUAAGUCUUAAUAUUCAAGAGCUAAGAGUUUAGCUGUUUAGGAGAAACAUGUACACAAGAAGAUGGACUGAAGUGUUGUACAUACUGUAAGUAUAUGUAGGAAAGAUGGAGAGAAAUGAAUGAUCUCUGGAUUGAUGAGAGGUGCACUUAACAUUUCUUGUGGCUGGUCACACCAAGGAAUUAAGAUAGAAAUGGAAAGUCAGGUGUUCUCUCAGAAGCACUUUGUACUUUUUCAUGUAUUCUCUUAGUGUUUCUUAAAAACUGUUAUGAAAAGCUUUCAUCCCUCCUUGCUGACUUCUCAGUGCUGGGGUAUAGAAGCACCUGCUGCUAGUAAGCACUGCUGGUGUAGAAAUCUGACCUGGACAGAGUUUGACUUCCUAUAAGAAUCCAUACUGAAUUUUCCAUUGCAUAUCUCAAUAUGAAUACAUGAAUAAAUGAAUGAAUCAGUGAAUCAA